AUUGAACGCUGGCGGCAUGCUUUACACAUGCAAGUCGAACGGCAGCGCGGGCUUCGGCCUGGCGGCGAGUGGCGAACGGGUGAGUAAUACAUCGGAACGUGCCCAGUAGUGGGGGAUAGCUCGGCGAAAGCCGGAUUAAUACCGCAUACGACCUGAGGGUGAAAGCGGGGGAUCUUCGGACCUCGCGCUAUUGGAGCGGCCGAUGGCAGAUUAGCUAGUUGGUGGGUUAAAGGCCUACCAAGGCGACGAUCUGUAGCUGGUCUGAGAGGACGACCAGCCACACUGGGACUGAGACACGGCCCAGACUCCUACGGGAGGCAGCAGUGGGGAAUUUUGGACAAUGGGCGAAAGCCUGAUCCAGCAAUGCCGCGUGUGUGAUGAAGGCCUUCGGGUUGUAAAGCACUUUUGGCGGGAACGAAAAGGACUGUGCCAAUACCACGGUUCGAUGACGGUACCCGCAGAAUAAGCACCGGCUAACUACGUG
rnacentral:rRNA from 1 species